UGUGGAUCCCCUUCGUCCGGAAAUACUUGUCCUAAAAAUUAUUGUAUCUAGACUUAUUUUAGUUAUAGAUACAUCAUAUCAAUUUUUAGGGCAAGUAUUUCUGGACAGAGGGAGUAUAUA
rnacentral:pre_miRNA from 1 species